UACAUGGAUGAUUUUUCCCUAAGGCUUUUGUAGCAAGCACACGAAAAGUCUUGGUUGAAUUCGACUUUGGGGC
rnacentral:miRNA from 1 species